UACAGAGGGGGCGAGCGUUGUUCGGAAUUACUGGGCGUAAAGGGCGCGUAGGCGGCCUUCUAAGUCGAACGUGAAAUCCCCGGGCUCAACCCGGGAACUGCGUGCGAUACUGGGAGGCUUGAAUCCGGGAGAGGGAUGUGGAAUUCCAGGUGUAGCGGUGAAAUGCGUAGAUAUCUGGAGGAACACCUGUGGCGAAGGCGGCAGCCUGGACCGGUAUUGACGCUGAUGCGCGAAAGCCAGGGGAGCAAACGGG
rnacentral:rRNA from 1 species